GGAAGGGUGUCCGAGUGGUUUAAGGAACCGGUCUUGAAAACCGGCGUGCCCGCAAGGGUACCGUGGGUUCGAAUCCCACCCCUUCCGCCA
rnacentral:tRNA from 2 species